CAGCACAUUAGCAUCAGUUGAAGGACUUUGAAGACAGUUCACACACGUUUGGGUUUGUUUCAUCAUAAGAACUGAACAGGAUUUGGAGUAAAUUUCCUCUUUUGGAUGGACCUCCUGUGGACC